rnacentral:lncRNA from 1 species
CCAUUUUUCUUUUGGAUGGCUGUAAACAUUAGGAUAAUGGGCAGUUAGGUGGCUCAUGGUUUAGAGUGCUGGGUCUGAAAUGAGGAUGACUCCUUUCCCUAAGUUAGAAUCUGGCCUCAGAUACAUGUUAUCCAUGUGACCCUGGGCAAGUCACUUAACCCUUUUUUGCCGCAGUUUCCUCCUAUAUAAAAUGAGUUGGAGGAAUGAAGGGCAAACCACUCCAGCAUUUUUGCCAAGAAAACCCCAAAUGGAGUCAUAAAAGAGCAUGACUGAAGAAUAACAGCAAUCCUUAGGAAGCUGUUCCUUUAAUUAAAUGAAGCUGCAUCUAACUUUGCUCCCAGUUUUAUCCUCAGGAACCAAGAAGAAUCAGCUUGCUCCAUGCUUCACCUGACACUCUUUAAAUACUCCAAGAGGGUUAUCAUCUCUGAUCUCCUCUCUUACCAAGUCUUUUAUUCUCUUAGAAGACCUUUAAGAUACCUUCCAACUAUAAGAUUCUACGGUUCUGUCAGAACAUACCAAUCCAUUUCAGAUGGAAGAAAUAAGCGAAAUGAGAAACAUGGGAUAUCUUUGUGGCCAGUGAACCAACAACUUAUGUCCAAGGAAUUGGGAGAGAGUUCAUUAUUUGUCAUUGGUUCACCAACAGAUGCAAUUACAGGUCCAGAGCCUGUUCCUGAAUUGUAAAAACAAAGACUCAGCUGGAAACCCUGAAGAGAAAUACAUCUUUUGGGAAAAUCCUUUCUCUGAUAUCUGUCUUACAAAUAAAGGAAUUAAGCCCCUUGUACCA